rnacentral:rRNA from 1 species
CCUACGGGUGACUGCAGUCGAGAAUCUUUCACAAUGGGGGAAACCCUGAUGGUGCGACGCCGCGUGGGGGAAUGAAGGCCUUCGGAUUGUAAACCCCUGUCAUGUGGGAGCAAAUUAAAAAGAUAGUACCACAAGAGGAAGAGACGGCUAACUCUGUGCCAGCAGCCGCGGUAAUACAGAGGGCUCAAGCGUUGAUCGGAAUCACUGGGCGUAAAGCGUGUGUAGGCUGUUUCGUAAGUCGUGUGUGAAAGGCGCGGGCUCAACCCGAGGACGGCACAUGAUACUGCGAGACUAGAGUAAGGGAGGGGGAACUGGAAUUCUCGGUGUAGCAGUGAAAUGCGUAGAUAUCGAGAGGAACACUCGUGGCGAAGGCGGGUUCCUGGACAUUAACUGACGCUGAGGCACGAAGGCGAGGGGAGCGAAAGGGAUUAGAUACCCCAGUAGUC